rnacentral:piRNA from 1 species
UGCACAGACCAGACACGAAGGCAGUUUC